rnacentral:rRNA from 1 species
AGCGAACGCUGGCGGCAGGCUUAACACAUGCAAGUCGAGCGGGCGUAGCAAUACGUCAGCGGCAGACGGGUGAGUAGCGCGUGGGAACGUACCUUUUGGUUCGGAACAACACAGGGAAACUUGUGCUAAUACCGGAUAAGCCCUUACGGGGAAAGAUUUAUCGCCGAAAGAUCGGCCCGCGUCUGAUUAGCUAGUUGGUGUGGUAACGGCGCACCAAGGCGACGAUCAGUAGCNGGUCUGAGAGGAUGAUCAGCCACAUUGGGACUGAGACACGGCCCAAACUCCUACGGGAGGCAGCAGUGGGGAAUAUUGGACAAUGGGCGCAAGCCUGAUCCAGCCAUGCCGCGUGAGUGAUGAAGUCCCUAGGGUUGUAAACUUCUUUUAUCCGGGACGAAACCACCUUUUUCCAAAGGUGUUGACGGUACCGGAGGAAUAAGCACCGGCUAACUCCGUGCCAGCCGCCGCGGU